rnacentral:rRNA from 1 species
GAUUCUGGCUCAGGAUGAACGCUAGCGGCAGGCCUAAUACAUGCAAGUCGAACGGGAUAGGCUCCUCGGGGGCCUUGAGAGUGGCGCACGGGUGCGCAACGCGUAUGCAACCAACCCCCGACAGGCGGAUAGCCGGUGGAAACGCCGGAUAAUACGCCAUGGGUUCCGUGGGAGGGCAUCCUCCUGAGGAUAAAGCCGAGAGGCGGUCGGGGACGGGCAUGCGUCCCAUUAGAUGGUAGGCGGGGUGACGGCCCACCCUAGUCCACGAUGGGUAGGGGAUCUGAGAGGACGGUCCCCCACACUGGUACUGAGACACGGACCAGACUCCUGCGGGAGGCAGCAGUAAGGGAUAUUGGUCAAUGGGCGGAAGCCUGAACCAGCCAUGCCGCGUGAGGGAAUGGGGCCCUACGGGUCGUGAACCUCUUUUAUUCGGGGACAAGGACGCGGUCGGGAACCGUGUUUAAGGGUACCGAAGGAAUAAGCGUCGGCUAACUCCGUGCCAGCAGCCGC